AUUGAACGCUGGCGGCAGGCUUAACACAUGCAAGUCGAGCGGGGAAGAGUAGCUUGCUACUUAACCUAGCGGCGGACGGGUGAGUAAUGCUUAGGAAUCUGCCUAUUAGUGGGGGACAACAGCUCGAUAGGGAUGCUAAUACCGCAUACGUCCUACGGGAGAAAGCAGGGGACUUUCGGGCGUUGCGCUAAUAGAUGCGCCUAAGUCGGAUUAGCUGGUGGGUGGGGUAAAGGCCUACCAAGGCGACGAUCUGUAGCGGGUCUGAGAGGAUGAACCGCCACACUGGGACUGAGACACGGCCCAGACUCCUACGGGAGGCAGCAGUGGGGAAUAUUGGACAAUGGGGGGAACCCUGAUCCAGCCAUGCCGCGUGUGUGAAGAAGGCCUUUUGGUUGUAAAGCACUUUAAGCGAGGAGGAGGCUACCGAGAUUAAUACUCUUGGAUAGUGGACGUUACUCGAAGAAUAAGCACCGGCUAACUCUGUGCCAGCCGCCGCAGUAAUAC
rnacentral:rRNA from 1 species